rnacentral:rRNA from 1 species
AACUAACGCUGGCGGCGUGCCUAACACAUGCAAGUCGUACGAGAAAGCCGGCUUCGGCUGGUGAGUAAAGUGGCGCACGGGUGAGUAACGCGUGGAUAAUCUGCCCUUAAGUGUGGAAUAACGUACCGAAAGGGUGCGCUAAUACCGCAUAAUGCCUGGCAACACAAGUUGUCCGGCCAAAGAAGGCCUCUGUUUACAAGCUUUCGCUUCAGGAUGAGUCCGCGUACCAUUAGCUUGUUGGUGGGGUAAUGGCCUACCAAGGCUGCGAUGGUUAGCUGGUCUGAGAGGAUGAUCAGCCACACUGGAACUGAGACACGGUCCAGACUCCUACGGGAGGCAGCAGUGAGGAAUAUUGCGCAAUGGGGGCAACCCUGACGCAGCAACGCCGCGUGAGUGAGGAAGGUUUUCGGACUGUAAAGCUCUGUCGAGCGGGAAGAAGUGUACCAUGGCUAAUAUCCAUGAUAUUUGACGGUACCG